rnacentral:lncRNA from 1 species
GCCGUAUCACAUAAAAUGAAAAGAGACGCCUAUUCUUUGUUUUUUUUGGUCUGGCCUUUCCUCACAAGGCUCCACAAAAAAGGAGAGAAAAUCAAUCAGCAGGACGCUCAUAAUGAGACAAGAUUAGGACGCGUCGCGGGUGUGGGUGCGGUAGACAUCGAGCAGGUCAUCGAGGACGACUGGACGCGCGUGCCCUCUAGAGAGUGCCUCGUCGAUCAAACGCUCCAAUGUAUCGCACGGCGUCUCGGCCGCCAUCAUCUCCAAGAUAGAACGCCGGUCGCCGCCGGGCUGACGACUCGCGACAGCCUUGUCGACGUACAUGCGCGACGCGUUGUACGGACCGCAGCAGCGCGACGGUGCGUGCGGGUCGUAACCUGCAUUGAGCAGCAGCCGGGCUAUUUUGAUGGAUUCCGUGCUGACCUCUUGCUCGGUCGUGCCGUUGGCGGCAUCGGGCACAGAGAGCGCUUCGGCAAUUCUCUCGCAUGCACACCGCACACCAUAGGCGAGCGCGCGCAACGGCGGCACAAUGCCAAGAGGCGAUCGACACGGCCUCGGCGCGCCAAACGAGUCUAGUAUCAAUGAGAGAGCCGAUGUCACGCAUACGUGCCGAUAGGAUUCAACUGCGACAUUGGGGCGCAUCCAUGUCGAAACAUCAGGACCCACGGUGGCGACGUGCUGGCGUCGCCAUGCGCAGCGCUCGAUCACAAACGACACCAGGGCAUCGACGUGCGGCAUCGGUCGUGCCCCCAACGCGAUCAGCGUGCGGGCGCAGUUUAGCGCGCCAUAGGCAAAUGCCAUCACAAGCGGCGUGACGACAAGAGGCGGCACGGUCGCGGCGAAAUCGUCUUUAUAAAGCACAAACGACUCGAACGAGAAUUCGUUUGUGUCAUUUUCAAACAUGUGCACCAGGUCGGUCGAUUCUGCACCGGCACCAAGCAUGUUCCAUCCGCGAGUGUCAAUGGGGUCGUCGGGUCCGAUCGCGCCCGUGUCGAGCACGCGCAAGAGUGCCGGCACAGCGUCAUCGACCAGUGCCCGCGUCAGUGUCUCGAUGGUCGACCACUGAUGCGCACACGAACCAUCGGACCGCGUGGCUGCGGCAGCCAUGCGACGGCGCUGCUGGUCGAGCGUGGCGCCGCCUACAGCGGACCACCGACGGCAUACUGUGCGCGCGGUACCGAUCGACGCCAAGGAAAGGUGCAUUGGUGAGAGCACCAGAGUCAGCAGUUCGCUGGGCAGAUCAUCAACGGUGAGCGAGGCCAAUAUCGGCGCUGUGGAGCCACAAGGCUCCAUGUCGUGGCCUGUCCUUUGUUUGCCUUGAAGAAAAAAGGAUACGGGCAGUCGCCGCUGUUCUCGGUUGUGGUUUUUUGGAAAGGAAAAAAAAC